rnacentral:rRNA from 1 species
UACGGAGGGUGCGAGCGUUGUCCGGAAUCAUUGGGCGUAAAGGGCGCGUAGGUGGCCCGGUCAGUCUUUGGUGAAAGCGCGGGGCUCAACCCUGCGUCGGCCAGGGAUACUGCCGCGGCUCGAGCACUGUAGAGGCAGGCGGAAUUCCGGGUGUAGCGGUGGAAUGCGUAGAUAUCAGGAGGAACACCGGUGGCGAAGGCGGCUAUCUGGACAGAAAUUGACGCUGAGGCGCGAAAGCUAGGGGAGCAAACAGG